rnacentral:rRNA from 1 species
GAUGAACGCUGGCGGCGUGCCUAAUACAUGCAAGUCGAGCGAACAGACGAGGAGCUUGCUCCUCUGACGUUAGCGGCGGACGGGUGAGUAACACGUGGAUAACCUACCUAUAAGACUGGGAUAACUUCGGGAAACCGGAGCUAAUACCGGAUAAUAUAUUGAACCGCAUGGUUCAAUAGUGAAAGACGGUUUUGCUGUCACUUAUAGAUGGAUCCGCGCCGCAUUAGCUAGUUGGUAAGGUAACGGCUUACCAAGGCAACGAUGCGUAGCCGACCUGAGAGGGUGAUCGGCCACACUGGAACUGAGACACGGUCCAGACUCCUACGGGAGGCGGCAGUAGGGAAUCUUCCGCAAUGGGCGAAAGCCUGACGGAGCAACGCCGCGUGAGGGAUGAAGGUCUUCGGAUCGUAAAACUCUGUUAUUAGUGAAGAACAAAUGUGUAAGUAACUAUGCACGUCUUGACGGUACCUAAUCAGAAAGCCACGGCUAACUACGUG